rnacentral:rRNA from 1 species
CCUACGGGCGACAGCAGUGGGGGAUAUUGCACAAUGGGGGGAACCCUGAUGCAGCGACGCCGCGUGGGUGAAGGAGUGCUUCGGCAUGUAAAGCCCUAUCGGCAGGGAAGAAGCAAGACGGUACCUGACUAAGAAGCCCCGGCUAACUACGUGCCAGCAGCCGCGGUAAUACGUAGGGGGCGAGCGUUAUCCGGAUUCACUGGGUGUAAAGGGAGCGUAGACGGCCAUGCAAGCCAGGGGUGAAAGCCCGGGGCCCAACCCCGGGACUGCCCUUGGAACUGUGCGGCUAGAGUGCGGUAGGGGCAGGCGGAAUUCCUGGUGUAGCGGUGAAAUGCGUAGAUAUCAGGAGGAACACCGGCGGCGAAGGCGGCCUGCUGGACCGCGACUGACGUUGAGGCUCGAAAGCGUGGGGAGCGAACAGGAUUAGAUACCCCUGUAGUC